rnacentral:tRNA from 1 species
GCCGGCGUAGCCCAACGGCAGAGGCCCGUGCCCUAGGAGCACGUCAGUGCGGGUUCGAAUCCCGCCGCCGGCA